CUUUAUUGGAGAGUUUGAUCCUGGCUCAGGACGAACGCUGGCGGCGUGCCUAAUACAUGCAAGUCGAGCGG
rnacentral:rRNA from 1 species